rnacentral:misc_RNA from 1 species
ACUAAUCAGCAAGCUUCAAUUCUCAAACAUAUGAUAAAGGCCCGUGAUUGCUCAAAACCCAGCUGCAUCCAUCAAUAAUUGAAUAGAAAUUCAAGGCUUCUUAGGCAAAAAACUUUAAAAUUUAGAUCAAAUUGGAGAGCAGAGUGUUAGUAUUCUGAUCAAAGAUUACUAGCUCUCUCAAAGAGUGAAAGAAAACAGAAAAAUAUUGCAAAUUGGUUCUUUUUUGAAGGUUAUUAC